rnacentral:rRNA from 1 species
CCUACGGGCGGCAGCAGUCGAGAAUCAUUCACAAUGGGGGAAACCCUGAUGGUGCGACGCCGCGUGGGGGAAUGAAGGUCUUCGGAUUGUAAACCCCUGUCAUGUGGGAGCAAAUUAAAAAGAUAGUACCACAAGAGGAAGAGACGGCUAACUCUGUGCCAGCAGCCGCGGUAAUACAGAGGUCUCAAGCGUUGUUCGGAAUCACUGGGCGUAAAGCGUGCGUAGGCUGUUUCGUAAGUCGUGUGUGAAAGGCGCGGGCUCAACCCGCGGACGGCAGAUGAUACUGCGAGACUAGAGUAAGGGAGUGGGAACCGGAAUUCGCGGUGUAGCAGUGAAAUGCGUAGAUAUCGAGAGGAACACUCGUGGCGAAGGCGGGUUCCUGGACAUUAACUGACGCUGAGGCACGAAGGCCAGGGGAGCGAAAGGGAUUAGAUACCCCGGUAGUC